GAUCCGUGUCCUAUGGCCAUUGGAUGUUCGAGAUAUGGAGGAGGGAAGGGAAAGAGAAAAGGGGGGAAAGUUCAGGAGCAGCAGCUGGACGCACAUUCGGGGGGGGGCAGGGACUCUGGGCUGCGCGGGGGAGAGGCCGCGGGGGUGCAGGGGGGAGGCCUCCGGGAACCCCUGGCCCUGCGCUACCCCGUGCGUGUCAUUUGCUACAAGCCUUCUCCGGGCUUCGGUUUUUACACGACUUCCCAAUGCUCCUCAGGUUAUUUUUCAGUCGUAGAAGCUUCGUGAACCGAGCGGACCGUGUGCCUGCUCAUCCCUUUCACUUGGGGGACCUUUCGGCACCUCAGGACUCAGAGACGCUGAGGAUAGGAUUUUCCAGCGUUUUCAGUGAUGCCUGGCUGCCCCGGACCCCCAUGCAGCCUUCUAAAGCGAUCCGCUUCGUAAUCCAGAGGUCAUUUAACAGAAAUAAAUAACAUUUUAUGAGAGUUCACGGUGUUUGAAGCACUUCCAUGCCUUUUUCUCCUCUUUGGAUACUCACAACAAUCUCAGGGGGGUAGGACUCUCCGUUUUACAGACCAAAAGCUGAGGUUCAGAGAACUGUGGCCGCCUGGGUCACACGGGGUCGCACGGUGAUGUCCCCGAUGGAGCCGGCUCCCCCAAAGCUCCGUACUCCUGCCCCUGGUGACUGCUCCUAGUUCCCAGGAGGCACUUAGGCGACACACACGGUGUCCCCCGGUCAGGGCCGUAACCGGGCCUGGGACAGAGGGAGCCAAGAAAGGAGGAGGGCAGAUGAUCUCACCUCCUCUAACUGGAAGCCCACAGCCCUCACAGGAGGCGGGAGCUUAAUAUGAACCCAUUUAGUGCGGGGCAGAUACCUUCAGUGAGCAUUUUCAAGGGAGGCAACUCCGGACGGAAAGACUACUAAUCAUGAUAAGGAUAAAGGGGACCCCCCCUCUCACUUUUAAUGUGAUCCUGAGUGACAGCGAUAAUUAAGUUUGGCAGUGACAAUAUCAAGCUGUGCUGUGUGAGGAGCCCUGUUACCCGUAAAACACCAAACUCAGUUGUUUUUUUCAAAGAUUUAUUUAUUUAUGAUAGACAGAGAGAGGCAGAGACACAGGAGGAGGGAGAAGCAGGCUCCAUGCAGGAAGCCCGACGUGGGACUCGAUCCCGGGACUCCAGGAUCACACCCUGGGCUGAAGACAGCGCUAACCACUGAGCCACGCAGGGAUUUUUUCCCCCAAACUCAGUUUAAAGGAAUGGGUGUGCAUGGGUGCACACUCAGGGCGGGCUGGGGGCCUCCGGGUGCCACGGACACUAGGGUCUGCCCAGUGGGGCAGCUCCCAGUGCGUCCCAAAUGCCUCUCCCACGCCGAAAGCCUCUCCUUAACUGAAGCGUCGAUGGCUG
rnacentral:lncRNA from 1 species